rnacentral:rRNA from 1 species
AUGCCGCCAGCACCCACCCCUGUGACUCCGACGCCACCCCCAGCCCCGGCCCCAGCGCCGGCUACAUCGACCGGCAAGUGCCCCGUGGACACACUAAAGCUACUUGCGUGCGUGGACGUGCUCAAUGGGCUGUUGCACGCGGUGAUCGGCAGUAGCGCCAGGAAUACAUGCUGCCCGCUGCUGUCCGGCGUUGCCGACCUCGACGCUGCUCUCUGCCUUUGCACCACCAUCAAGGUCAAGGCCCUCAACAUCAACCUCAUGCUGCCCAUCGCCAUCGAGGUGCUCGUCAACUAG